rnacentral:rRNA from 1 species
AUUGAACGCUGGCGGCAGGCCUAACACAUGCAAGUCGAACGAGUGGCGGACGGGUGAGUAAUGUCUGGGACACUGCCUGAUGGAGGGGGAUAACGAAUGGAAACGGUAGCUAAUACCGCAUAACAUCAGAUGUGCCCAGAUGGGAUUAGCUUGUUGGUGGGGUAACGGCUGACAAAGGCGACGAUCCCUAGCUGGUCUGAGAGGAUGACCAGCCAAACUGGAACUGCGACACGGUCCAGACUCCGAGGUGAGGCAGCAGUGGGGAAUAUUGCACAAUGGGCGAAAGCCUGAUGCAGCCAUGCCGCGUGGAUGAAGAAGGACUUCGGGUUGUAAAGUACUUGCAGCGGGGAGGCGUUACCCGCAGAAGAAGCACCGGCUAACUCCGUGCCAGCAGCCGCGGUAAUUC